rnacentral:rRNA from 1 species
UACGUAGGGUGCGAGCGUUAAUCGGAAUUACUGGGCGUAAAGCGUGCGCAGGCGGUUUGGUAAGUCAGAUGUGAAAUCCCCGGGCUUAACCUGGGAAUGGCAUUUGUGACUGCCCGGCUAGAGUGUGUCAGAGGGGGGUAGAAUUCCACGUGUAGCAGUGAAAUGCGUAGAUAUGUGGAGGAAUACCGAUGGCGAAGGCAGCCCCCUGGGAUAACACUGACGCUCAGGCACGAAAGCGUGGGGAGCAAACAGG